AGGGUUUGAUUCUGGCUCAGGAUGAACGCUAGCUACAGGCUUAACACAUGCAAGUCGAGGGGAAACGAUAGGGAAAGCUUGCUUUUCCUAGGCGUCGACCGGCGCACGGGUGAGUAACGCGUAUCCAACCUGCCCAUGUCUGGGGAAUAACCCGUCGAAAGGCGGACUAACUCCCCAUGGUCUCCGAUGAGGACAUCUGAAUUGGAGUAAAGCUUCGCGGACAUGGAUGGGGAUGCGUCUGAUUAGGUAGUAGGCGGGGUAACGGCCCACCUAGCCUACGAUCAGUAGGGGUUCUGAGAGGAAGGUCCCCCACAUUGGAACUGAGACACGGUCCAA
rnacentral:rRNA from 1 species